UACGUAGGCAGCGAGCGUUGUUCGGAGUUACUGGGCGUAAAGGGUGUGUGGGCGGUUGUUUAAGUUUGGUGUGAAAUCUCCCGGCUCAACUGGGAGGGUGCGCCGAAUACUGAAUGACUAGAGUGCGGGAGAGGUGAGUGGAAUUCCUGGUGUAGCGGUGAAAUGCGUAGAUAUCAGGAGGAACACCGGUGGUGUAGACGGCUCACUGGACCGUAACUGACGCUGAGACACGAAAGCGUGGGUAGCAAACAGG
rnacentral:rRNA from 1 species